rnacentral:rRNA from 1 species
AGUCAUAUGCUUGUCUCAAAGAUUAAGCCAUGCAUGUCUCAGUACAAGCCAAAUUAAGGUGAAACCGCGAAAGGCUCAUUAAAUCAGUUAUGGUUCCUUAGAUCGUACACACAUUUACUUGGAUAACUGUGGUAAUUCUAGAGCUAAUACAUGCUAACAGAACUCUGACCGGAGACGGAAGGAGUGUCUUUAUUAGAUCAAAGCCAAUCGGUGGUCGGGCUUCGGCCUGCCAUCGCAUAAGAUGGUGAAUCUGAAUAACGUUUGCUGAUCGCACGGUCUCGCACCGGCGACGCAUCUUUCAAAUGUCUGCCUUAUCAACUGUCGAUGGUAGGUUCUGCGCCUACCAUGGUUGUAACGGGUAACGGGGAAUCAGGGUUCGAUUCCGGAGAGGGAGCCUGAGAAACGGCUACCACAUCCAAGGAAGGCAGCAGGCGCGCAAAUUACCCACUCCCGGCACGGGGAGGUAGUGACGAAAAAUAACGAUACGGGACUCAUCCGAGGCCCCGUAAUCGGAAUGAGCACACUUUAAAUCCUUUCACGAGGAUCAAUCGGAGGGCAAGUCAGGUGCCAGCAGCCGCGGUAAUUCCUGCUCCGAUAGCGUAU